CUCAUAGGAGAACGCACCCUGUUGUGAACCGUGCAUGUGAGGGAUCUAGGUUGCGCUGUUCUUAUGAGAAUCUAAUACCUAUUGAUCUGUCACUUUCUCCCAUCACGCUCAGGUGGGACCAUCCAGUUUCAGGAAAACAAGCUUAACACGCCCACUGAUUCUACAUUAUGCUCCUACCUCCCGGCAGCCUCGCCAGGCCCAGAACUCUCUCCAGUCAGCCUCUACAGACCAAGCUCAUGACUCACAAUGGCCUAUUUAGGCCCAUACCCUACCUCACGGCAGUCUCCGCAGAUGAGCCUACUGCCUCACAACAGCCUCCACAGGCACAGCUCCAUCGUUACAAUGGCCUCUUUAGACCCAGCUCCUGCCUCCCAGCCUUCUCUCCAGGCCCUGAACUUUCUCCGUGGGACCAUCCAGUUUCAGGAAAACAAGCUUAACACGCCCACUGAUUCUACAUUAUGCUCCUACCUCCCGGCAGCCUCGCCAGGCCCAGAACUCUCUCCAGUCAGCCUCUACAGACCAAGCUCAUGACUCACAAUGGCCUAUUUAGGCCCAUACCCUACCUCACGGCAGUCUCCGCAGAUGAGCCUACUGCCUCACAACAGCCUCCACAGGCACAGCUCCAUCGUUACAAUGGCCUCUUUAGACCCAGCUCCUGCCUCCCAGCCUUCUCUCCAGGCCCUGAACUUUCUCCACAUGGGGUCUCACUUUGUUGGCCAGGCUGGUGUCAAACUAAUGGCCUCAAGUGACCCUUCCACCCCUGCCUCCCAUCCUCGAGGUAUGUGCCACCACAAGGGGCACUUGUUCAAUUUUCUAAAGAAAAAAUUUCCAAAGUAAGGCUGUGGGAUGAUGGCAGGAAGAUAAAAGAAAAACAGAAGAAUAAGUUAAAAUGACUUAUUCACACAUAUUCUUUUGACAGCAAGAAGAACUUUUAGUAUAUACAUUCCUUACAAACAAACAAACGGCAGAUAAACAAUGUUGUAUAGGAACUUCAACACACACUGUACAAUAUUCCCACUUUGCUGACAUAAGUUAUGGAAAUUUCGUGGUUUCCUUGAGUGUCGCUAGCAGUAUUUUGCUUCUCUGAUGAUUUUUAUCAACUUCCUCAUCUGUUAACUUCUCUCCAAAGUAUGUCAUGUCACGACAUACUGCCGCUGCACG